CCGGUUCCGGUUCACACCUGCGGUGCAGGUGACCCGGCGACC
rfam:Williamsia sterculiae strain CPCC 203464 genome assembly, contig: Ga0104459_102